CUCAGACAUGCAAGUCGAACGCGAAAGCUUCCUUCGGGAAGCGAGUAGAGUGGCGCACGGGUGAGUAACACGUAAGUAAUCUACCCUUGGGUGGGGAAUAACAUCGGGAAACCGAUGCUAAUACCGCAUAAUGCAGCGGCUUCUUAUGAAGACAGUUGUUAAAGCAUUUAUGUGCCUGAGAAGGAGCUUGCGGCAGAUUAGCUAGUUGGUAAGGUAAUGGCUUACCAAGGCAACGAUCUGUAGCCGACCUGAGAGGGUGGUCGGUCACACUGACACUGAAUAACGGGUCAGACUCCUACGGGAGGCAGCAGUCGGGAAUUUUGGGCAAUGGGCGAAAGCCUGACCCAGCAACGCCGCGUGAAGGAUGAAGUUUUUCGGAAUGUAAACUUCGUAAAAAUAGGAAGAAUAAAUGACGGUACUAUUUGUAAGGUCCGGCUAACUACGUGCCAGCAGCCGCGGUAAUACGUAGGGACCAAGCGUUGUUCGGAUUUACUGGGCGUAAGGGCGCGUAGGCGGCGUGACAAGUCACUUGUGAAAUCUCCGGGCUUAACUCGGAACGGUCAAGUGAUACUGUUGUGCUAGAGUACAGAAAGGGUAAUCGGAAUUCUCGGUGUAGCGGUGAAAUGCGUAGAUAUCGAGAGGAACACCAGAGGCGAAGGCGGAUUACUAGGCUGAUACUGACGCUGAGGCGCGAAAGCUAGGGUAGCAAACGGGAUUAGAUACCCCGGUAGUCCUAGCCCUAAACGAUGAAUACUUGGUGUCUGGAGUUUAAUUCUCUGGGUGCCGUCGCUAACGUUUUAAGUAUUCCGCCUGGGGAGUACGCACGCAAGUGUGAAACUCAAAGGAAUUGACGGGGACCCGCACAGGCGGUGGAGCAUGUGGUUUAAUUCGACGCAACGCGAAGAACCUUACCUGAACUAGAAUGCGAGGGAAGAUUACCUAAUAGUAAUCGUCGGGCAACCGACCCAAAGCAAGGUGCUGCAUGGCUGUCGUCAGCUCGUGUC
rnacentral:rRNA from 1 species